rnacentral:lncRNA from 1 species
CAUCCAUGCAGGAAUGUACCAUGAAGCAACACUCAAGUUCUGCUUGUAUGACUGGACCUGCUAGGUUACAAAAUGUAAGCCAAAGUUCAGCUCCUGGGGGAGGAAUCCCAAUCCCAGGUACUACCAGCACACAGAAGAG